ensembl:lncRNA
AUGUCAAAAGAACUGAGAUGCAGAUUGGUGAGAAAUACAAUCACAAGUAUGGUGUCCCUUUUGAGAGCAAGCCAAGGCCAAAUGGAGCGAUACCCCUCUAAGUCUGAAAUCACUGCAAUGGCUAAAAAAGUUGUGGAAUAUUAUCCUAUGCUGCAGGAUAAUGAUGCAAGCGUAAAACACGAGAGCAUUAAUGCCAAGUUACAAAAAAGGCUGCAAAAUAUGAAAACCCCAGUAAAAAGGCAAGGACCAACACCGGAGAGGGGAUGGCCCAAGAGAAGGCUCACUGACCUCUCCCCAAGGGAUGAAGAAGCUGAUGAUGAAGAUGCUGAUCGCAGUUCUUCCAGUGGUGCAUCUACUCUGUUAUCACCUGUCAGAAAUUCUGACGAUGCCUCCACUUCAUCUGACAAGGAUAGUCGACAAAUACAAGCAAGACAUUACAAAACAUUACAAGAAAUGUGCAAGAAGGCAAAACCAAACCAAGAAGAUGUGUCCCAGCUAUUAGACCUCGAGUUUGAAGCCAGAAGAUCCUUCAUUGACUCAGACACCAUGAAAGAGGAGAACAGAGCUCGCCUCAUCUUGGAUGCAUAUCCAUGCUUUAAAGAAUUGCAUCAUGCAUUGGGUGAGCUUCGCAGAAUUUUGGAUCCCCACAACAACAAGUUCAUCAGUCAAAUAAAACUGAGAUGGGAAGAAUUCUGCUCCAGGGUAGAGUUCUACUGUGUGUCAAAGAAGGCAAUGAAUCCACCAAUGACCAUGGACAAAACUGAAGCCCACCUUGCACUGAUGAAGGCUCUUCCAACGCUCUUUCCCACACCUGCCCAUCCACCAAAAAAGAUGGGGAAUGCUUCUGAUGCAUUUCUACAUGUCCUGAAGCCUACAGAAGAUCCAGAUGCUGUCCUCCAGAAACGAGGCUUGUCAUGUCCAGUAGUGAUGUUCGAUGGAUGCAAGUGUGUCAUUGCUGUUGGUAAUUUACCAGUUACAACAUUUGACAAAGAAAAACUUGGUGAGGCUAUGAUAUAUGUGAUGGCAUACUUUUAUGCACUCCAUCUGACUUACCCCAAAUGCGUGGCAACCCUGCUGUCUGUCAUUCAGACAGAAGUUCUCCAGGAUGCCAUUCAUGAGCAUGACACUACAUCAUCUUACAGAAAAGCCCUGGCAGAAUGGCAUGCAUUUAUUGGAAAGUAGUGUGUAAAUUUCAGAUAAGAUUAUGAGAGGGC